UAGUAGACAUCAUAAAGAGCAGUUUGUCUCCAAAUCUUUGCUUUGAUAAAACUGAAAAUGGUAGAAACUUCAAAUAAAAAAGUCAACAUCUUUAUUUUAUUAUUUUUUGUUUGGUUUCUCCGAGCCGAGUGUUCAAGGUCAACAAUGGAACAAAACUCAGGCUUUGAAUUUGACAAGAAUCGAAUCAUUUUUGCAAGUGGUAUCUUCGGAUUACUGCCAUUUCAAGCAGUCGGAUAUCUCCAAGAAAAAAAUCCAACUCCAAACUGGGCGUCACUCGAAAACGAGGAGGACUCAUCAGAGUGGCUUUUCCGGGUAACUUCCAGGGAAUAUAGGGAGAAACAAUUAGGACGAGCCAAUAUUAACAAAAGGCCAGACGCCCAUUCAUGGGGGUAGAAAAACAGACAUGCUUCAAGAAAUCGAUUCACUAGAAAUGUUUCUGACAAGGACAAAAGGGAUCUCAAAAUCAUUCGGGCAUUUGGAUACUUCUGAAAUUGAAUCAACCAAACAGCAUGGCCGAAUUACUGGAUUUCAUACCGGUUUCACCAAUGCUUUAUGUGAUAUGUCUUUCAUAGCUAUGUCGUCAUUGCAAUUUAUGUUAUGCUAUCAUUUCACAGCUGAAUAUGACUCUCUGCUGAAUUAAAAUGUUGACAUUAA